CUAUUUAUUUAUUUGUAUUGUAGUCCUGUAAUAUGUUGUCAUUUCAAUGUUAUAUUUAACUUUGCCAUUAAAGUGCGAGGUUUGGCAUGCCACAAAACCAGGUUCAACCCACCACUUUUAUUCCCUUUAAAAGUGUCCUGUACCAAGUCAGGAAGAUGGCCAUUGUUAUAUUAUUGUUCGUUUCUGUGUGUGUUGCAUUUUAACGUUGAGUCGUUUGUGUUUUCUCUUAUUUUUGAGAUAUUGAGAUCAGACGUGGCACGGUACUUGUCUAUCCCUAAUUCAUGUAUUUGGUUUUCAUGUUAUAUUUGUUAUUCUCGUGGUGUUUUGUCUGAUGCUUGGUCCGUUUCUGUGUGUGUUACGUUUCGGUGUUAUGUCGUUGUUCUCCUCUUAUAUUUAAUGCGUUUCCCUCGGUUUUAGUUUGUUACCCCGAUUUUGUUUUUUGUCCCUGGAUUUAUGAGUUUUGAACAGCGGUAUACUACUGUUGCCUUUAUUUGGCAUUACUAAAUUCAUCCUGGUUAAUAAUAUAUUUAUCUAGAUUUCACUGAUUUCCAUUAGGUGGGACCAGUUAGCAGGAGUAAUAUUAACGGAAUUUAACUUAUAUACAACGGGAUAACAUCUUUUUACAUGAGUGGGGCGAGUUGGCAUUAGUAAAUUCUUCCUGGUUAAUAAUAUAUUUAUCUAGAUAUUAUCGUUUUCUAUAAGUUGGGGCAAGUUGGCAGGAGUAAUAUUAAGGGAUAUAACACAUUUCACAAGUGGGGCGAUUUGGUUAUCCAGGUUGGGGCAGUUUUUUUUUAAAGUGGGGCGAGUUAGUGAAAAAGUGGGGCUAUUUGCUAAUGGGGC
rnacentral:lncRNA from 1 species